CCUACGGGGGGCAGCAGUGAGGAAUAUUGGUCAAUGGACGCAAGCCUGAACCAGCCAUGCCGCGUGCAGGAUGACGGCCCUAUGAGUUGUAAACUGCUUUUGUACGGGGGUAAAGUCCGAUACGUGUACCGGGUUGAAUGUACCGUACGAAUAAGGAUCGGCUAACUCCGUGCCAGCAGCCGCGGUAAUAUGGUGGAUCCGAGCGUUAUCCGGAUUUAUUGGGUUUAAAGGGUGCGUAGGUGGUUUGGUAAGUUAGAGGUGAAAUGUCGGGGCUCAACCCCGAAACUGCCAUUGAUACUGUCAGACUAGAGUAUAGUUGUGGUAGGCGGAAUGUGUGGUGUAGCGGUGAAAUGCUUAGAGAUCAUGCAGAACACCGAUUGCGAAGGCAGCUUACCAAACUAUAUCUGACGCUGAGGCACGAAAGCGUGGGUAGCAAACAGGAUUAGAUACCCCAGUAGUC
rnacentral:rRNA from 1 species